CAUGCACCAUUUUUCCGCAAUCACGUUAAACUUUAUGACAAUUUUGUGGGCCGAUAGAAGAUGAACACAAACCAGGUCUAUCGGAGAUGAGCCACAUAGAAUAAACCUCUAUCAAUGAGAGAAACAAUGUAGAUUCAUUUCAGCAAACUGCCAAAUACGCGAAGCCAUCAGAUUGAAUGCUCUCUGCCCAUCCACACUUCACUAUCAAGAUCGAAUAUAUAUAUAUAUAUAUAUAUAUUACGUAGAUAGAUAGACAGAUAGAAAGGCAAAUGUAUGAUUGUCCCUUAGUACAAAACUCGGUGAGACUUAAAACCUCACCCCCUUGUAAAUAUUGAAUAUAAAACUGGUUGGGCCAGGCCAGGAAAANNNNNNNNNNNNNNNNNNNNUAUUAUAUUAUAUUACUAUUCAGUAUUCCAUUCUAACCAUCUAUUAAUAUUUUACUAAAUUUUAGCUAUGGAUUUUAAAAAGAUAUUUUAGGAAAGAAAAAAAUAUCAUUAUUUUUUAUGUUACGGAAAGUACCAAAAUCCAUCUCUCUCAUAAGUUUCCACUCCCCAUUAAAUGUGGAAAGUGACUUCUCAGGAAAAGUAUUUUUUUAACUUUCUCUCCUCUUAAAAUUCCGACCAAAUAAGAGGCUUUUUCUUCACUUUUCAGAAAGUAUCUCUUUCUCUCUCCACUUUCCGUCAACCAAACGAGUUCCAAGUUCUAUAAUUUUCAUAUCUAAAGCUGCACCUCAUUCAGUUACAUGCACCACUUUUCCGCAAUCACGUUUCACCUUAAACGUUAUGACAAUUUUGUGGGCCGAUAGAAGAUGAACACAAACCAGGUCUAUCGGAGAUGAGCCACAUAGAAUAAACCUCUAUCAAUGAGAGAAACAAUGUAGAUUCAUUUCAGCAAAAUGCCAAAUACGCGAAGAGGGGGUAGUGGCCAAUGUACGAGGAACAGCCAUCAGAUUGAAUGCUCUCUGCCCAUCCACACUUCAC
rnacentral:lncRNA from 1 species